GACGAACGCUGGCGGCGUGCUUAACACAUGCAAGUCGAACGGAAAGGCCCUGCUUUUGUGGGGUGCUCGAGUGGCGAACGGGUGAGUAACACGUGAGUAACCUGCCCUUGACUUUGGGAUAACUUCAGGAAACUGGGGCUAAUACCGGAUAGGAGCUCCUGCUGCAUGGUGGGGGUUGGAAAGUUUCGGCGGUUGGGGAUGGACUCGCGGCUUAUCAGCUUGUUGGUGGGGUAGUGGCUUACCAAGGCUUUGACGGGUAGCCGGCCUGAGAGGGUGACCGGCCACAUUGGGACUGAGAUACGGCCCAGACUCCUAUGGGAGGCAGCAGUGGGGAAUAUUGCACAAUGGGCGGAAGCCUGAUGCAGCAACGCCGCGUGCGGGAUGACGGCCUUCGGGUUGUAAACCGCUUUCGCCUGUGACGAAGCGUGAGUGACGGUAAUGGGUAAAGAAACACCGGCUAACUACGUG
rnacentral:rRNA from 1 species